rnacentral:ncRNA from 1 species
GCGAGUUCUCAGGGCGGGGUGUAAUUCCCCACCGGCGGUAAUGCCCGAUCGACUCGGGACGAGCCCGCGAGCGCUCCCUUGCCCUCUGCGGCGGGGGAGGUCAGCAGACCUGGUUGGAUUCCGGGGCCGACGGUCAUAGUCCGGAUGAGAGAGAACGGGA